rnacentral:misc_RNA from 1 species
UACGAACUGCGCGAACGUUAUUCGGAAUCACUGGGCUUACAGGGUGCGUAGGCGGCCAGUCAGGUCCGAUGUGAAAUCCCACGGCUCAACCGUGGAAUGGCAUUGGAAACCGAUUGGCUUGAGUGAGCUAGAGGUGCACGGAACUUCCGGUGGAGCGGUGAAAUGUGUUGAUAUCGGAAGGAACACCAGAGGCGAAAGCGGUGCACUGGGGCUUGUCUGACGCUGAGGCACGAAAGCCAGGGGAGCGAACGGG